UACGUAGGGACCAAGCGUUGUUCGGAUUUACUGGGCGUAAAGGGCGCGUAGGCGGCGUGGUAAGUCACUUGUGAAAUCUCCGAGCUUAACUCGGAACUGCCAAGUGAUACUGCUGUGCUAGAGUGCAGAAGGGGCAACCGGAAUUCUUGGUGUAGCGGUGAAAUGCGUAGAUAUCAAGAGGAACACCUGAGGUGAAGACGGGUUGCUGAGCUGACACUGACGCUGAGGCGCGAAAGCUAGGGUAGCAAACGGG
rnacentral:rRNA from 1 species